CUUCACGAUCUUUUUGGGCUUGCCUUCGUGCGUUAUCUCCUCAGUCACCGUGACUUGUUCUCGUACCUCCUCAGUUUCGGUAGGUCGUUCGGGUUUCGGCUCAGGAAUCAGAUCGGUAAUUUCUUCGAACUGUAUUUCCUCGACAGGUUUUUCAGUCACAGUCGUAACUGGAGCCUUGCCCUCUUCUUCAACCGUCUCUUCCUCGGUGACCUGUUGCUUCUUGCCCUUCCUGCGAACG
rnacentral:misc_RNA from 1 species